AAACAAAAAGUUGAGUCACAGAUA
rnacentral:misc_RNA from 1 species